UACGUAGGGGGCUAGCGUUGUCCGGAUUUAUUGGGCGUAAAGAGCGUGUAGGCGGCCAUGUAGGUCCGGUGUGAAAACUCGAGGCUUAACCUCGAGAUGUCAUCGGAAACCAUUUGGCUAGAGUCCGGAAGAGGAGAGUGGAAUUCCUGGUGUAGCGGUGAAAUGCGUAGAUAUCAGGAGGAACACCUGUGGCGAAAGCGGCGCACUGGACCACAACUGACGCUGAGGCGCGAAAGCUAGGGGAGCAAACAGG
rnacentral:rRNA from 1 species